rnacentral:misc_RNA from 1 species
GGCGUUUUGAGGAGAUAAUGUACCAAGCUGACGAGUCUGAGCAUCAUACAGCAGAGGGUGCACCAAAUGUGUCGAGUCAUUCCGAUUGCCUGAAUUAUCCUGAAAUAUGGGGACAUCAUGAAAGCCGUGAACUUAGUUCAAUGAGCUCACGACAAAGCCAUUCGGAUGAAGAUUACGAGAAAACAGAUCAACCAGUUACAGUCAUGGACACAAAAGAAAUGAUAAUGGAAAGUAAAACUGCUCCUCAUACGAGACGUACGCUUAGGAGCCUGAUGAAUUCCCUUUCUUUCUCAGAAACCGCUUCUCCUCCAGAUAUUAAUGAGAAUGAUGUCCAACAAGAAAUGAGAUGGAUUAAAGCCAAG